CCUACGGGUGGCAGCAGUGAGGAAUAUUGGUCAAUGGGCGUAAGCCUGAACCAGCCAAGUCGCGUGAGGGAUGAAGGUUCUAUGGAUCGUAAACUUCUUUUAUAAGGGAAUAAAGUGCGGGACGUGUGCCGUGUUGUAUGUACUUUAUGAAUAAGGAUCGGCUAACUCCGUGCCAGCAGCCGCGGUAAUACGGAGGAUCCGAGCGUUAUCCGGAUUUAUUGGGUUGAAAGGGUGCGUAGGCGGCCUUUUAAGUCAGCGGUGAAAGUCUGUGGCUCAACCGUAGAAUGGCCGUUGAAACUGGGAGGCUUGAGUAUGUUUGAGGCAGGCGGAAUGCGUGGUGUAGCGGUGAAAUGCUUAGAUAUCACGCAGAACCCCGAUUGCGAAGGCAGCCUACCAAGCCAUGACUGACGCUGAUGCACGAAAGCGUGGGGAUCAAACAGGAUUAGAUACCCCUGUAGUC
rnacentral:rRNA from 1 species